rnacentral:rRNA from 1 species
CUCUGUCCUCAAGGAAGAUAAUGACGGUACUUGAGGAGGAAGCCCCGGCUAACUACGUGCCAGCAGCCGCGGUAAUACGUAGGGGGCUAGCGUUAUCCGGAUUUACUGGGCGGAAAGGGUGCGUAGGCGGUCUUUCAAGUCAGGAGUGAAAGGCUACGGCUCAACCGUCGUAAGCGCUUGAAACGGGUAGACCUGAGUGCAGGAGAGGAGAGUGGAAGUACAGGUGGAGCGGUGAAA